rnacentral:rRNA from 1 species
AUAUAAGUAGGCGGUGAAAAAUGAACCAAAUGGGAUUCCUUAAGUAAUUGCGAAUGAACAAGGAAAUGCUCAGCUUGAAAAAUGGGGCCUUUGGCUUUGAAUUGUAAUUUUGAAAUGUAUUGCCAAUGGAGGCGCAGGUGCAAGCCUAUUGAAAGAAAGCGUCAAUGAGGGUGAGAUUCCUUUUUGUCAUUUGCAGUCCUCCGUGCACGGUAUAUAUUUGACGAGUCACACUCCUCGGCAUUGGAAUGCAAAGUGGGUGGUAAAUUCCAUGUAAAGGUAAAUAUAUUAUUGAGACUGAUAGCAAACAAGUACCAUGAGGGAAAUAUGAAAAGGACUUUGAAAAGAGAAUUAAAAGAGUCUGCAUUUGCUGAACAGAAAGCAAACAGAAUUGAUUUUACUUGGUGAGAUUGUUGUGCUUACUCUAUCAUUUAUAUGGUUGAUGUGGGUGCGAUGGUUCUUACCUUGAAUGUCAGCUUCUAUUUCUGCAAAUCAUUACCCUUGCACAUGAAUGGUAAUUUGCCUGCGGGUAUUGGAAUGCAUGUGUUUGCAAUGAUUUGUGAUUUGACGCAUGUGUUUGGUGAAAUUUGUAUAUGCUCUUUUGUCGAAGGGGAAAGCUUACUUUUUUGAGCAUUGCAAGCCCUUACACAUCAGUGCUGGCAAAAUGUUUCUGCUU